GCUAAGCGGUUUUCUGUCGUUCCCCGCUCAGAUGUUCAGGUGGAUGUGUUUCUGUCACUUUGCGUCCCUCGGUCACAGUCACGGGGGAAUGAAGUGUCCUCAAGCCUGGUUCCUGUCCAGCCGGCUGGCUGGGCCCUGCUCGCAUGGUGCUAAGCAGCAGAAGAGCGUCCUGCCCAGGCCUGGGGCAGAGGCGCACCCUUUGAGAUGCCACCCCAGAUGGGUUCCGCUGGCCCUUCCCCGCCACCGAGGGGUCAACUCUUGGAAGCCGCAAGGGCAAGAGGGGUCCCCGAGGGUCGCAGACCUGAGCUGCUUACGUGAACGCUCGCUCCAGCACUGACUCAGACAUCGGUUUCUCCAUCUGAUAAAGUGCCUUUGCUCGGAAGCCAGGCCGAGACCAAGAGGACGGCGAGUUUCACUGUAGACGGAGCCACCCUGGAGGUGACAAGCAUGGGGAAGGACGAUCACCUCCUUGCGAAUUAAUUCACCAAGAACUUUGACGCGUAAGCCACCACGAAGGCGCGCCGUCUUGACUCAGAGUGAGACAUUCAGCUGUGCCCUUCGGUGCUGCGCCUCCAAUCCCGGUCGUGAAUAAACAUCUGUAGGAGAUUGGUUUUA